UGGAGCAGGUACCCAGUCCAUGGUGGCAUAUGGACCGCCGCGGGUCUGCUGACCCCCGGCCGGUUCAACGUGCUGGCGUCCGAUGGCGAGGGCGAGCAACAAGCAGACGGGCAGAGCACCAUUGCAGUCGCAUCGGCCAUACCGGUGGCGGACGUCGAAUCGCCGCUCCAGCGCUGGCUAGUUGUGGGAGGCGUCGUCGCGCUCGCGACACUCCUGCUUCUCCACAUUUGGAGGGGACGUCAGCCGGCGCGUUAAUUCCCAUGCACUUGGGUCCAUCGCGACUAGGCUAGAAAGCACCGUCACGACAAUAUAGCCCUUCUUCUCUGCUUCUGAUGCCGACCAGAUCGGUAUCGGUUUGUCAAUCACCACCG
rnacentral:misc_RNA from 1 species